AACACGCCCAUUUGAGCAUGCGUUGUGCAGCUUUGUUACUGUUAGCUACUUAGCUUAGCUAUCUAUUGUGAAAAUGGCGUUAAGCAAAACAUUUGGCCAGAAGCCGAUUAAAUUGCAGCUAGAGCAAGAUGGAGACUUUUACAUGGUUGGAUCAGAGGUUGGAAACUACCUGCGUAUGUUCAGGGGCUCUCUGUAUAAAAGGUACCCAUCACUCUGGAGGAGGUUAGCCUCAGUAGAGGAAAGGAAGAAGAUUGUAGCAUCAUCUCACGCCACAAGUGUAACUCUGCUGAAGGCGUCCGAAUGUGAAGAGAUCUUUGAGGGGAAUGAUGAGAAGUACAAAGCGGUUUCCAUAAGCACAGAGCCACCGGCGUACCUCAGGGAGCAGAAGUCAAAGCGGAACAGCCAGUGGGUCCCUACGCUGCCCAACAGCUCCCACCACCUGGAUGCUGUGCCAUGCUCUACCACCAUCAACCGCAACCGCAUGGGCCGUGACAAGAAGAGGACCUUCCCCCUGUGCUUUGACGACCACGACCCGGCGGUGAUCCAUGAGAAUGCGUCUCAGGCCGAGGUGCUGGUUCCCAUUCGUCUGGACAUGGAGAUUGACGGGCAGAAGCUCCGAGAUGCCUUCACCUGGAACAUGAACGAGAAGCUGAUGACCCCGGAGAUGUUUGCUGAGAUCCUGUGUGACGACCUGGACCUGAACCCCCUGGCCUUUGUCCCGGCCAUCGCCUCAGCUAUACGCCAGCAGAUAGAGUCCUACCCCACAGACAGCAUCCUGGAUGAACAGACAGACCAGAGGGUCAUCAUCAAGCUGAACAUCCACGUGGGGAACAUCUCCCUGGUGGACCAGUUUGAGUGGGACAUGUCGGAGAGGGAGAACUCUCCGGAGUCGUUUGCCCUGAUGUUGUGCUCCGAGCUGGGCCUGGGAGGAGAGUUUGUUACCACCAUUGCCUACAGCAUUCGCGGCCAGCUCAGCUGGCACCAGAGGACGUACGCCUUCAGGUCUGAUUUAAGUGAGAACCCCCUGCCAACGGUGGAGAUUGCCAUCCGCAACACAGGCGACGCUGACACAUGGUGCCCACUGCUGGAGACUCUGACAGAUGCAGAGAUGGAGAAGAAGAUCAGGGACCAGGACAGGAACACCAGGCGCAUGAGACGACUUGCCAACACUGCCCCUGCCUGGUAGAGAGAAGCAGCAAUGAGCUACUACAGAGCCUCUAGUCCAGUGGUGUUUUUGGAACCGUGGCACACCUUGAUGGGAUAUAAAAUUCUGCGGCACACCAGAAAUGUCCCUAUUAAUUUAUUUUGUGAGCGUCCCGCGAAUCUGCGCCAGAAAGAAUAAAAGGUAUGUAUUAGGCAAAUAGGUAUUUAGUUUUGAACGGUCUGUGCUAGAGGUGCAACCACGGACACAAAGCCAAGCUCCGUUUGUUUCUAUGGCAGAGGCUGUGGGAUAGCUAAGCUCAGAGCCAUAUAUUAAGAAGUAAAUUACUCUGGCUAAGCCUAAUCAGACUUACCUGUGCUAAUGGUUAUCACAGACUAAGUAAAAUUAUACAAAUGACUUUGCUCAUGAUGCGCGCCCCUCAAAUUAUACAAAUGUAACAGCCUGAGCACACUGGACUUGAAACAAUGAUACAGAUGUAACAAUGUACCAUUUAAUGUAUUAUCUGACAGGCACAGGUGCUCCCAAGUCAAAAUUCCAGGUACAUUCCACAGGUUAUGUUUCUAAGUGAGUGUUCAAAAAAAAUGAUCAAGGUUAGGAAACGUUUUGCGGCACACCACUGCUUCUAGUCAACUCCUAUGGGCCCUCUGUGGACACACACACAAACGUGACAAUAGACAUUCCACUGGUCCCUUCUUACAGCCCCCAUAAUGUUAACUAACUCAAUGCUUGAUUGUUAUACUGAUCCAGUAUCAAUGCCACAUCUCUACUCCCAUGAAUUAGAAAAAUUACUUCUGAUCCCAGAUCAGAGACUUUUCAAGGAGCCUUAACCAUUUCUAGUGUUGAAUCCCAAUCCGUUCCCCUGUAGUGGUUCAAGCCGCUACUAAUUUCUGAUGAGAUGAUGCGAUGUGGUAAAUGAACGGUGCCAUGGGUAGAGUGUAUGGGUCAGAAUGAAAUCUAGGCUUUGUCAAUUCUAUGGAUUCACCAUCUAAGUGAGCUCUACCUGGUAAUACUGCUUUGAUGCACUCAUAUCCCUCAUGAUAGACAAUGCUGACUGACUUGAUCAUAUCUGUUAAUAGAAACUCAGACUCAACUCUUGCGAAUAAUGUAAAGUUAUGUAUUGUGCUUUCUUUUUGUGAAGGUGCUGAUACUUUUAGUACAUUUUUAGCUUUUGUUUCCUUUUUUAAAUAAAAUAACAUAA